CCCCCAUUUUCUCCAGACUUGCCCUCCACCCACCGUACCCCUGUGCUUGAUAAUCCAAACGAAAAUAAACCCUGGAGGCGCGAUCCCUCUCUACAAACAACCUCUCUACGGCUCCAUCAUUCGUUUUCGAAAAAGUAAGCACACUCUAAAGAAACGUCUGCACGAAGUAGCCUACGCUGUGUCUCUCCACGACGAAAAUGUUCCAGAUUUCGAAAGAGAUGGAGGGCCUCCAAGAGCACCAAAGCCAGCGGUAGAGAAGCCCUUGUCCUUCUCCGUUUAGAGCAGGUUCCUCUUCUUCGAAUCCCUUUGUGGUAUGAAUCCCAUC
rnacentral:lncRNA from 1 species